rnacentral:rRNA from 1 species
GAUGAACGCUGGCGGCGUGCUUAACACAUGCAAGUCGAACGAAGCAUUUGCGACAGAUUUUUUCGGAAUGAAGUUGCUUAUGACUGAGUGGCGGACGGGUGAGUAACGCGUGGGUAACCUGCCUUGUACUGGGGGAUAGCAGCUGGAAACGGCUGGUAAUACCGCAUAAGCGCACAAUGUUGCAUGACAUGGUGUGAAAAACUCCGGUGGUAUAAGAUGGACCCGCGUCUGAUUAGCUAGUUGGUGAGAUAACAGCCCACCAAGGCGACGAUCAGUAGCCGACCUGAGAGGGUGACCGGCCACAUUGGGACUGAGACACGGCCCAGACUCCUACGGGAGGCAGCAGUGGGGAAUAUUGCACAAUGGAGGAAACUCUGAUGCAGCGACGCCGCGUGAGUGAAGAAGUAAUUCGUUAUGAAAAGCUCUAUCAGCAGGGAAGAUAGUGACGGUACCUGACUAAGAAGCUCCGGCUAAAUACGUG